UGUUACAUCUUUGCGAUGAGGUGCAUCCGAUAGCAUAAAUACAAACUCAUCUUUUAUCUAGGAUACUUGGUCUUAUCGCGCAAACACGGGUUGUUAACGAUGUCAAGGCGUAUUCAGAGACGAGACAACCCGCAUUUGCUUAACAAUCGCCUCAGUUUCCCGAAGGUCUACCUCGCUCAACAAAGAUCUUUGUUGAAUCUGCCCCAAGGAACUAUCGAUGGACGAUCUUGCAGCGAUUGCGGAAAGGAAUCACGAACGGAAGGAAGGUAGAAGGGAAGGAAACGGCAAAUCCUCGGGUUAACGACCAUUCGACAAGGCGUUGCGGAGUUCGACGAUCGAUAGGGUUAUGCGAGUGCGCUAUUUGCCUAUGCCCGUUGCACAUAUUUAUCGUGGAUACAAAGUGGAAGUAAUAAAA